rfam:Camelus ferus unplaced genomic scaffold scaffold7828, whole genome shotgun sequence.
GAGGGUAUAGCUCAGUGGUAGAGCACAUGCUUAGCAUGCACGAGGUCCUGGGUUCAGUCCCCAGUACCUCCA